UGAGGGGAUCGAACCUAUUACAGAAGUAAAGAAUGAAUGCGGAUGUCCUCCACGCAGUGACACUAACAAGGAACAGAAGUUUCGGGAUGAUUUAUAUUUAACUCAUAUGAGCUUUUGCAAAAUUCGCAUUACCUACGGCGAUUUGAUAUGUAGCCUGGCAUUGAAUAAGUUAGAGAUUGUAUAAAAUUCUUCAGUACAAAGAAUAAUUCUGACUGCAGAAAAAAUGGGAAGUACAGUGAUGGACUCCAAGGAGAAGGAUUGUGCAAAGAAAUUCUCUAAGAAAAAGCGAUCCCUGCGCCUUAAAAUGCCAGAUAUGACCACAUUUACAUCUUCUCUUAUGGAUGGAGAGACUGACAGAUCAGAUAAAAACAAAGUGGGAAAGGUUGACACAAGUGACUCAGCUAGUCUAUGUUCAAGGUCUGCUGCUAUCUGCCAACCCCAUACUCCCAUACAUCCUAGCACCAGUCCAGGCUCUCCAAAAAACAUCUUUCACCGUUCAUUAUCUUCACACCAGGAGUCACCUCCCAAGUCUCCCCACCGUCUCAGUUUCAGUGGUAUCUUCCGCUCCUCUUCCAGCUCAGCCCCUACCAGCAUCAAGCUCUUUUCCAGAUCAAGAAAAGGUUCUGGGCUUUCAAGUCCUCCCACCACCCCAACACAGAGUCCAGUUCCACCGGUCUUUGCUAUGGAGACAUGCAGUCAUGUUGAGCAAGUGGAGGAACGAUGCUCCCGCUCACUCUCAUCUACCCCUGACACAGGUCAGCGCUUCAGCCUGAGCCCCUCCACCACCAAACCCCCUAUCGCCUUGUACACCCUUAACUCUACCUCACGCCAGAGCUGCACACUUACUGAAGGCCUGCUGGAAAAACUUGAACUUGACAAUGAAGCUGCUGAAGAGCCAGACAGUGACAUUUACAUGCACUUCAUGAUGUCCCACAAGUGCUAUGACCUCAUCCCUACCAGUUCCAAACUAGUGGUCUUUGACACUACAUUACAGGUAAAGAAAGCCUUUUUUGCCUUGGUUGCCAAUGGAGUUCGAGCUGCCCCAUUAUGGGAAACUAAAACGCAAAGCUUUGUGGGAAUGUUAACAAUCACAGACUUCAUCAUAAUUCUGCACAGAUACUACAAAUCACCACUUGUGCAAAUAUAUGCGCUGGAGGAGCAUAAAAUUGAGACUUGGAGAGAACUUUACUUGCAAGAAACAUUUAAACCCUUAGUCAACAUAUCUCCAAAUGCAAAUAUAUUCAAUGCUGUUUACUCACUGAUAAAAAAUAAGAUUCAUCGUUUGCCAGUGAUCGACCCGGUCACAGGAAAUGCCUUGUAUAUCCUCACGCACAAGAGAAUCCUGAAGUUUCUUCAGCUCUUUGUGUGUGAGAUGCCUAAACCAGCCUUCAUGAAGCAGACCCUGGUGGAGCUGGGCAUUGGCACAUACAGCAACAUUGCCUACAUUCACCCAGAUACGCCCAUUAUUAAAGCGCUGGGCAUGUUUGUGGAGAGGAGAGUAUCUGCCCUGCCAGUUGUGGAUGUUACUGGAAAGGUUGUGGACAUUUACUCCAAAUUUGAUGUCAUUAACCUGGCUGCUGAGAAGACAUACAAUAACCUGGACAUCACAGUGACUCAAGCUCUGCUGCAUCGCUCGCAAUACUUUGAAGGAGUUAUGAAGUGUUACCGGCAUGAGACAUUAGAGACUAUUGUGGACAGGAUCGUCAAAGCUGAGGUGCACAGACUGGUAGUCGUGGAUGAUAAUUCCAGCAUUGAGGGCAUCAUCUCCCUUUCUGACAUUCUGCAGGCGCUGGUACUCACCCCCGCAGGUAUAGACGCUCAGAAUUCCUAAUCCAACCCUCCAUUUCACUUUCAAUCUCUCCUCUCCACUCUUCUUUGGAUCCAUUCUACUUUCUUUGGAUAUCUGCAACUCGAGUGUCUCUUUCAGACCCCCUGAGGCAAGCAGGACACACAAGAUGAGUGAGUGACAAGACAACAUUUUGUAGAUGAAUGAAAAAUCAUCAUCAUAGAUCAUCAUUCCUAGCCAGAUUCAGAGAAGAGGACAACUGUAGGUGUUCUAUAUCCUGAUAUAAGGACUGAAGUUGUGGUGGAUUGAACGAAAGCAUUAGAAUCUGCAGCUGAAGGAACUGAUGUGAUCACAAAGCUCACAAUAUUGGACAUGUUUAUGGUUGGCCAGUGGUGUUAAUGUGUCGCUGUGCAAACUGUGCUGUGCUGAUGGUUGAGAGCCCCUCACGUAAUCAGGCACAGUGAGGAACCAGACACUGAAUCUACUUUUAGUUAAGUGUCUGAACUUGUAAACUAUCUUAACUGAGAAUUGAUUAUAAAGCUUAGCAGAGACUCAUAUGGGUGUGUAGGUUGUGGAAAAGCAGGUUUUAGAUUCUUGAGCGACAGGUAACAAUUGGUUCAAAGGCAUAAAUGGUUUAAACAAAAGAAAACUUUUUCCUCACAAUAUGUAUUUAUUUAUUUUUAAAAUACUUAUAUAAUAUAAUAUAAUAUAAUAUAAUAUAAUAUAAUAUAAUAUAAUAUAAUAUAAUAUACACAAAAAUACAUCCAUGUAUUUUAUACUAUAAAAACUGUGGCUUAUGUGGCCUGCCUUAUUUCUUCCCAAAUGUCAAAAGACCCUGUUUAAGCAUUUGUAAUUAUGAGGACACAAGACAUGUCCUCAUAAACCACUUCAAUAUAGUACAACUAGGUCAUAUCCAUGUCAUUAUACAAUUUUGUCUUAAUAAGCCACAUAAACAAGUACACACGCACACACAGAGAGAGACUUAUUUUUUUUUAUCAUUGUCAGAAUGGUGUGGAAUACAUGUGCACCAGCUGUCUUGUGCACUAGAAUAGUAUGAAUGUAAAAGCUUGCAUUUGCAAAAUUAGCCUACAUUUUGCACCCUAGUGAUAUGCUGAUACUGUCAUAUCCUGACAGUGACAUGAGGUACUGUCAAUGCAAUAUGACAUGUAAUGGGUUAAAAACUGAAAAAUCAUGUAUGUUGUGAAUGCAUUUUUUAUUACUGCCGUCAAUGUAAGUUAGGGCUGUUAGGUCAAGAUAGAAAUAUAUGUACAUUUUCACACAGAAAUAACAAAUGUUUUUAUGUUGUUGAGCUAAAUACAUUUAUAUUGCAAUAA